rnacentral:lncRNA from 1 species
AUGAUUAUAUCCCUAGUCAACCACUUUGAGGCAUAGCCCUUACUUUCAAUAACCUUGAUAAAAAGCCUUUAUUCGUUCUGAAUGACCCUCUCUCUUCACCCUAUCUUUCCUUAGCACAAGGCAAAAGCAUAAGUUUGUGAGGUGAGACGAGAAAUGCAAAAGUGAUAAAAGGUACAAAAUGAAGAAAAUGAAAGGUGAAAAGAGAAAAUAAAAGAAAGAAAGGACAAAAAGUCAAAAAGAAAGUGAACAAUGUAGAGGAAAACAAAAGAUGAAAGGCAUGGAAAGGUUGGAAAGGAGAAAAAGAAUUGAAAUGUACAAGAAAGAGUGAAAGUGUGCCUAUCUAACCCCUAAAUAAGUAAAUGAUUCAAAAAGUCAAGAAAAUGUGUGCCAAAAUGAAGCAAAUAAAGUGCUUAAGGGAAGGUGAAACCAUCUUAGACCAAUAUAUCCUACCCUGAACCAAAAGCCUUCAUUACAUUCCCACAAAAGCCCUAUAUGAUCUUAAGUUGGGUAAGCUUACAUUAAUUGUGACGCACAUAAGGGGAAAGCUUACAGUACUUAGAGCCGGGCUUGUGUCCUUCCUUUGAGAGAGAUGGGUGUGUUUCCCAUAAUCUGCAUUCUGAGUGCUACAAUCUAAUAGUGAGGUUUGUUUAUGAAGAGUUGAGGAGUAUGAGUUUGGGUUCCACAUUGGCCAAUGUAAUAGAAAGAGCUUCCUUGAUGAGUUGAGUCUGUCGCACCUCCUUUUUACACUACAUUCUGCGAAGGGCG